GCAGCCAAUAUCUACUUUGAUUUUUUCCUUUUUCAUUUUUCAUAUUAUGUCAUUUAGAACAACUUGUAUAGUAACUUUAGCAAUAACUUCUUGUAUUUGGUACUUCUGCUAAGUAAAAUGACUGUACAGCUUAUUAAUAAUAAAAACUUUGCAAAUUCUUUUCAUAUUUAAGCUAAUGCUCGAAAGAUAAGACCAUGCUUUCUAAUUUUUGAUUUAUGCAUUGUGAUCAGAAUGUCGUGGUCACUGAAUUUGUUUAUGUGUCUGAUCUGCUUGCUAAAAGGCGUGCAUGACAACUACCUCUUAGAUAUGGAUCACAUCUAGAGAACUAGGAUUAUAACAUAAUGUAAGUUUUAUGAAAUAACACAUUGAUGGAAAAUGUAAUUAGGAAGAACUGCAACGAUGAAUUAAAAAAAACACGUUCAAUAUAGAUAAUUGAUCAUGCUUGCUGGAAUAGGUUAAGAAAAAUAGAGUUUUUGUCUCUUCGUUAAUCACAUAAUACAAUGUUGAAUCUGAGAAAAAAAAGGAGAAACUUUUCUUUGAAAAAGAACUGAGGGAAAAGCUUUGAGAGAAGCUAAUUCAGGAACUCAAGAGUUAAAAGAAACGUGUUACUUAUGAUCAAGAGGUUGUUUGUUUCUUGUGUUCUAGUUAAUAUUCAGUACACUCAGGAGAUUCCCACUUUACUAUAGAUGCUUAAAUUAUUUUGUUUGUAGAGAACCGUUAUGAUUGAGUAGGUCCUCUACUAUUUUAAAAGACUUGUAUCACACAGUUUUCCUUCCAAAUUAAUUAAAAAAAACUUUACAAAAAGAAAAGAAGUAAUUAUAUGUUGUUUUCCCUCUUCUUGUUCUUAUUCUUAAUAAUAUAACAUCAUGUCACUUUAUGUUUAGGCAACAAUCAUGCUUAACCAAAUAAGCAUACACUUCAUUUUUUUUCUCCUUUUUGGUUGUUAGACGUGUUUGACAGACUUUAUUAAGCUAAGGAUCUAUCAAGAACAACUUUAAUGUCUGUCUCUUAUUAGGUAGAGGAAGGAUAUUUUUUUUGAAAUUCCAAAGGUGUACUAGAAGUGAAUCUUUGCAGCAUUGGAUGAUAGAUGUAUUUGAAACUUUUUUAUUAUAUUAAAUAAGAGGAAUUGGACAUAAAACUAUUAUUGAAAAUUAAAAGGAUUUACAAAUUUGGUUUUGAUGGUUAUAGCUUUAGGUGUUACUCGAAACUUGAGGUUGGUCUUGCUCCACUUCUUUCUCCAUCCAGAUUAUGUAGGUAGUUAUGAAAAUUUUGGAUAAAACUAAUUGUGACUUAGGUGUUUGAUAAACUUAUUGAAACAAAUUGAUUUUUUACCUUCUCCUUUUUCAAAGCUUGAAUUGUUUGAUCACGGCCUUCCGCUUACACAAUUUAUGUGAAUGUAUUCUGCUUUCCAGAGAACUUCCAUUCUUAUGGUUUCUCAGGAUCAAGGAGUUACAACUAAAACAUUAUCAUUCAUCGUACAUUAAUAACAAAUUCUAUGGGAACUAUCAUAACAAAUCAAACAUUUAUAACAAGUAUUGUGAGAGUCCUCUUUAAAAAUAUAUUGCAUCUAAUAUUAUAUUUUUGAUCAAAAAUAAUUUUCUUAAUCUCAAUUUACAUCGUUGUAACUAUUGGUUAGAAAAAUAUGCUAUGUCAUGGGACAGAUGCCUCUUCUAGUGUGUUAGGAAGGAGGCUUCAGGCUUCUAUAUCAAUUUGGUUAUUGCUCAAAAUACAUUAUUUUGGUCAGCUUGUGCUGCAUAUCAUUUGAUUAGCCGUGAUAUGAUUGAGUUCAUUUAAGCAGAUUGUACCUUGUAGUGAAUCUUUGACAUAUCUAACUCAGCUUAAUAUAAAAUUGGAGUUAUAUUUCGUGGUCGGUUUAAUGUGAAUGAAAAAAAUUGAAAGGAUAGUGACAUAGUACGUGCAGUUGAUUGACUUGUAACAACAAAGUAGGCUAGAGCAUUUUUAGAGUCAUUUCUAGUUCGUAUUCUUUUCCCUAGUUGGGUUGCCAUUAUUUUUUUCAUUUAUUAAACUGUGUUGAUCAUUUAUUCACUUGUCUUAUUAUAGCGAAUCAUGUUCUUUAACGUUCUUAAAAUUACAUUUUGACAUGUAGACGUUUAUUCUAUCCUAUUAUAGUGAUGUAUUUUAAUUAUUUUACAUUUCAUAGCGAAACCUUUAAGUGUUCUAACACACACGAGCCUGUCCUUCAUAGUAUAUAUACGUACCCUACUAUUCUUUGCAUUUUUUUUAUAGUAUUUUGAUAUUUUUUUUAAAGAUACGAAUUCAAUUGGAAUCAAGAAAGUUUGUGGAAAGCUAAAAGAAGGUCUAGCGAAAUAAAGUAGCCCGUGAAAAUAUAAGAAAAGGAAGGUUUGUUAAGGCAAUUCCAUCAACAAAGUUAUAGAGUUGGGGAUAAUGUUUCAAAACUUUCUUUGCUCUAAACAAGUGGAGGGGGGAGAGGGACACAAUGACUAAAUUAUAUUGUAUUUUUCAAGAUAAUUACAUUUUUGUUAUUUAUUGGCUACAUUUGUGACAAAAUAUAGUUGUUUUAGAAUUGUCUUCUGAUCAAUAAUAUAUUUAUUCUUUUACGAAUUAAAUUUGUAUUCUAUCACAAUUAUUAUUGUCAAUAAUCAAAGAAAUUUAUAGUGACAAUUUUGUUGAGUCAUUAAAACUAAUAUAUUUUUUGACAAAAUAAUUAAUUUUAACUACAAAAAUAUAAGUCAUUUUUGUAAAAGCAAAAUCAUUACUAUAUAUAUUUGGGUACAACAUAUUUUUAUAAAUAAAAGAUUGUCUUUAGUGACGAAGUUACUUUUGUUUAACUGCAAAACUUUUAUAACUUUAGGGACACUUAAUGUUGUCACUAACUAAAGUAAAAAAAAUUAGUUGUAAAUUAAUUUUAUCGAUAUAAUAGCCUUUUCAGUGACAAAAUAUAUUAUUGACUACGAAAUUUUAUUUUGACAAAUGAGUUCGUCCUAAAUACUAUGAGUUUGGGGAUAAAAAAAAAAUUAAUGAAAUGCUAAUUUAUUUUGUAUACUUUUAGUGACCCGUGAUUUAGGGAUGAACAAUUGAUGAUUUUUUACCGUCACAAAUUUUUUUGUGACGAAAUAUGAGUUUUAAGUGACAAAAUAACUCGUCACUGAUAAUGAAAUUUGUUGUAGUGUUCCUAUAAUCCAAUACCAAUAAAUCAAUAUAUCAAUUUUGUGGUUGGUUUAUCAGUGAUAAUUUGAUUUUGAACAACCCUAGUACAACAAGCUAUUCUUUUUUGAAGGCCAAACAUGUAUUUGAAGAUAAAUUUGAAAAGUUUAAUUAAAAUUUAUGCUCAUAUGGUGGCUAAAAUAAUUGAAAUAUUUGAAGAUAUCUAGUUUAGUUGCAUUAGAAUAAAAAAUAAAUGUCAUAAAUAUUGAGAUGACCAAAGUAUACAUUAUUUAUACAAGAUAGUGUGAGUCAAACAAAUUUUACCAAUGUUUAUUACUACAUCUGUUUCGCAUUCCCUUCGUUUCGUUUUAAUUUACCCCCUUUUCAAAAAUAUUUAUUUCAAUUUUAUUAUCUCAUUUAUGAAAUUAAGAGAAUUUUAUUAUAUUUUUUCAAUACUAUUUCUAUCAUUAAAUAACUACACAGAGUAUAUAUACUCAAACUUAUAUUCUCAAAGUAUAAUUAAUAAGACUAAUUUUAUAAAAUAAACCCCUACUAAAUAUUUUAUUAAGGGAAGAGCCAAGUCAACAAAUGUCAAUUAUUUUAAAACGGAGGGAGUAUUGCUUGGCUCUUUGACUAGCCGACACACCUCUUAAGAGAACUUUAAUUAUAAAUAUAUUUUUACUAAAUUAAUUUUAUUAAUGAUAUUUUGAUAAAUUUAACUAUAAUUACUUUACAUAAUUAUAUUUCAUACCAAGGAUAGUAUUGAAAUUUCCCUUAAUUUCUCAUAUUCCAUUAGAACUGGAAGCGGGUUACCAAAUUUAUUUGACAAACGAUGCAAAAGAAAAGGAAAUGCUGGGAGUAGGACCAUUUUCUUUAUUAGCUUUCAGAAUGCCUAAAUCGUUGCGUGGUUCAAUAAAAGUCCGGCACGUAAGAGCUAAACUUUGACUUAAUAGCCAGCGCGCGGCACCUCCUUAAUUAUGUAUACACCCUCCUAAGAUUUAAACCUCAACUUCCAACUAAUUCACUCAUUCCACCAUUAAUUUAGUCCCAAUUACCACUCUAUAAAUACCCUUUAGAUCUCACUAGCUUUCGUAUCCAAUAAUCGAGUAACAAAUAUAUCACAUUUGUAGUAUCCUCCAAUCCACUACUCUCCUCAUACUACUCUGUAAUUUUCUUACAUUAAGCAUGGAAAUGGCAGGCAAGAUUGCAUGCUUUGUGCUUUUGUGCAUGACGGUGGUUGCACCUCAUGCAGAGGCACUGAGCUGUGGUGAGGUUCAGUCUAGCAUGGCCCCUUGCGUUCCUUAUUUGACGAGUCGUGGCCCUCUUGGAGGUUGUUGUGGUGGAGUUAAAGGUCUGUUGGGUGCAGCUAAGACUCCAGCAGAUAGAAAGACAGCAUGUACUUGUCUAAAAUCAGCAGCUAGCACUAUUAAGGGCAUUGAUGGGGACAAAGCCGCUAGUCUCCCUAGUGUUUGUGGCGUCAACAUUCCUUACAAGAUCAGCCCUUCCACUGACUGCUCCAUGUACGAUAAUUCAUUUUCUUAUUCUCGAUUUAUAUUAUAUUUUGUGUAUCCUUUGUAUAACUUAUUUAAUAAUCUCAUCAGGUCGUAUAUAAAUUAAAUUUAAUUGAUGUAAAAUAAUAUAAUAAGUCUUAUAACCAUAUUUUAAAAGUGGGUUAACACAAUUAUUUGUGGAUAAUAAUGAAGGUAAAAAAAUUCAUGGUACACCGUAUAGUUAGUAGUUAAAUUAUAUAUUGCCUCAUGUUACAAAAUGAUGUGCACCGACAUACAAUCAACUGAUAAAAGUGUGAUACAAAUACUGUGAUGAUCCUAGAGCAUUUGAUACUUUCAAGUUAUAGCUUAUUUCUUACAUGCUUGCUAAUAAUAUUAAUAGAGUUAAUAACUUAAACGGUCACUCAAUUUUAGACUUUUAUUCAAAAAGUCAUUUAACUUUGAACCUUAUCCCGAACUCACUCAACUUUAGAUAUUUUACUCAGAAAGUCACCUAAUAUAUUUUAUUACUUUUUAACUAAUCUUUGUUUAUGUGAAUUUUUUUUUUAAUAACAAGAUUCUGAAAAAUAUAAAAUAGUCAUUUAAUGACCUUUUUACCCUUUAUUCC
rnacentral:lncRNA from 1 species